AGGGUUGUGCAUUGGACAUCAAC
rnacentral:miRNA from 1 species